UACGGAGGGGCUAGCGUUAUUCGGAAUUACUGGGCGUAAAGCGCACGUAGGCGGCUUUGUAAGUCAGAGGUGAAAGCCUGGAGCUCAACUCCAGAACUGCCUUUGAGACUGCAUCGCUUGAAUCCAGGAGAGGUGAGUGGAAUUCCGAGUGUAGAGGUGAAAUUCGUAGAUAUUCGGAAGAACACCAGUGGCGAAGGCGGCUCACUGGACUGGUAUUGACGCUGAGGUG
rnacentral:rRNA from 1 species